GAAACUCAAGAUCAAGGGAGGAUGAUCCCCUUUCAAGUAUAGUAUUUGCCGGAGCUUUGCCGUGGAGUCCGUUGUGGCCGUGUUAUUGACGUUUUAGAUUUGAAUCAGCCUACACGGACCUAACAGCAACAGGGAUUCCAGCGGACUAACAGAAGCAGCCGUGGAGAGGCAAGGCAGGGACGAGAUUAGCGGCCAGAAAUUUGAAAGGAAAUCUUCAGAAGAAUCAGAUAGUAAGAUAGUUGGUGAAGAAAAGAAGGAAGAUAUGUCGCUUAGUAAUGAUAGUGGUGGCUCUAACAAGGCGGCUACACAUGACAAAGACAGAGAUACUUCUCCUUCCCAUGAAGGGAUAAAGCUUUCUCUAUGAUUUUUCUGUUUAAAAUGAUCAUUUAUGGAUUGCCUUGGUUUAGUAUUUUUGGUUUAUAAAGGUCAUGACUACAAUUCAACAGGGUAUUGGAACGAGCUACUAUGGGCAGCUUCGUGUUCUCUCUGGAGGUCAAGCACCUGGUGGGCACACUGCUAUAUAUGGACUAUUCGGGUGAUCCGAAGAUUAUCACCUGCAAGUUUUCAUGCUGCUGUAGCAAAGACAUGUUUUGAGCUGAAGAAUCAACUCAUCACUGCUAGCUAUGUUGAUGAUGAAACAUCCAUGUAGAUGGCUAAGAAAUACUUGGAUUAUGAUUCUUGGUGAAGUGACAUCUCACAACUUGGAUAAUUGAGAAUGAGGCUCAUAUCAGCAAGGGGAAAGUGAAGUCUUUCACGCUCUUCCUGUGGUAGCAUUCCCUUUUCUUCUGCAGCAGAUAAUUUAUUAGCACAGAUUGAAUGACUUCAAUCAUUCAAUCUGAUGUACUCAAAUCAUGCAAUAAUGUGAUCAAGAGCUCACAUUCACCUUCCACUUUGUAAUAUUUCUUAUGUAUCUUUUUUUUUGGGAAUCAUAAUAAGCAAUAAUAUUUUACAGUACAUAUGCAUUAGUAUUACACCAAACAACUCUCAAUAGAAAAAAGAAAUACAAUUACAACCAAAAUAAAAUUAAAGAAAAACAGUGAGCAUAUAAAGUUAGCUUAAAAAGGGACCCCAUAGAGAAAAUACAUUUAAAAAUAUAUAGUAAAUUAUUAAAUAAACAAAAUAAAAUUGGAACAAAUUUAAAUAGUAAAUAUAUUUAAGACUCAAACAAAUAUGUAUAAUUUUAAAUAGUAAUGACCACUAUUAAAUUUUUAUGUACUUUACCUGAUUUAAUUAUAUUUCCAGUUAAAAUGGAUUAAACUUCACAACUUAUUACUUAUAACUUCAUUAAACUCAUCAGAAAAUGAUUAUUAGUUUGAAACUUUGAUCAAUGAGUACAGUUAUUUCUAAUAGGUGAAGUAAAAACGGACAGGUCAGCCAAUUAUUUAAACAAUUGUAAAAUCUUCCAUAACUUUUGUUUAAUUAACAUCUAAACCAAAUAUUUUAACACAAUUUUAUGAAUAUAUUCCAUAAUUUAAUGGUACAUUUUAAACAAAAAGUAUAUUUUUGUCAAUGGAAUAUAAAAUAACAAUAAUUUCUAAAAUCAUGAACAAAAUUUUAACACAAAUUAUAAAAUAAACUUACUUUUAAUAACAAUUAAACCAAAUAUUUUAAACAAUUACAUCAUAUAUAUUUCAUAAAUAUGUUUAUAACCCUGAGUACAUUUUGAAGCAAAACUAUUUGUCAAUUUUAUAAUCAUAAAUUAAAAUUUCAAGGAAUUUUCUAACGAUAGAAAAAAAAACAAUGGUAAAGUAGAAACUAACUUGAAUCCCUGAGUGGACUGGCCAGUGUUGCGUACUGUUCUUUUUUCAUUAUUUAGAAAAAAGGUCAUGGAUCCUGAAAUCAGAAAGCAUAACUUUAAGACUUUUCAAACAUCAUAUUUAGAAAUUCAAUUUCAUAUUGUUUUUAGAACAAAAAUUUAGAAUAUAACCUUACAUAAAUUUAUAGAAUUAAACAUUUAUAACACUGCAUGAAAUGUUCUUAACAUAAAUUCUUUGACAUACAAAUAAAAUAAUAGACAAACAAAAUAAAUUAAUAUAUAAAUAUAGAUUUGUAAUAAAUAAAUAUCAACACAUUUUUUAAUUGUUAUGAUUUGUCAGUUACCAAAAUUGCAAAACCUUUCAAAUUCUAUUUAAAAUAACUAUUUUCAAAAUUUGCUCAAAUAAAAUGAUUUGUGUUCUUAUAUUAUAUUUUUUACCUUUAACAUAUAGUCUUUUUGUUUAAUAUUAGAUAAUGUUUUACAUCGGUGAACAUAUAUUAAAAAAUCGACUAUUUUAGAAAGUAAUAUUAAAAUAUAAUUUAGAUAUAGUUUCACCAAUUAAAAAUGUAAAUAUUAAAAUUAUAAUUAGUUACACCAUUUUUUUUUUACAACAGUUACACCAUUUUUAGUAAUGUAAAGUUAUUUAGAUACUUGAAAACAUUGUCUGAUGUUAAAUAA